rnacentral:lncRNA from 1 species
AUUGAGGCGUGUCUUCCCUGGUUCUGCGUCCGUGAAGCCUAGAGAUUCCCGAGCCUGGGUCACCCGGGCGGUGUCGCAUGUCGUCUGCGGGGAGGUUGGGGCUGCUCGCGCGAGGCGCUCUGGGUCUCAUUUCCGAGGCCGAAAAUGCUGGCUCCAAAGUGGUGCCCUGGGAGAUGAGGGCGACUCGCAGAUUCCACCCUAUUCUCUGAAUGGGCUUCGAGUCUCCAUGGUUGGAUGUAUUGGAUGUUACGACCACUAAACUUUCUUCUGAGCACACACGAGCAGUGGUGUUGUUCUCUCUGAGAAAUACUACAGGCUUUGGUGUUAAGACACUGGAAUUCCGGAAACCUGUCCCUGUCAUACCAGUUGCUGUGUGACCUCCGUCAAUCAUGGUUCUUUACUGAGCCCUGAGACUCCGCACGUGAAAAUGGAUGGGGAUGAACUUCCAGUCCAGGCAGUGCCACUGACUUUGCUUGGGGACCUGGGGCAAGCUCUGUGGCCCAGCAUUGCACCAUCUGUAACAACAUAACCAAGGGGUGCGCAAUUGAGCUUUGAGGUUAAUUUCGGUGCUAAAAUCCCGGUCAGUAGUUCCGUCAUCUUCACAGACCUCACCCUACCCAAUGCCCUUAUUGUGCUCCACAUCCCAAUCAACACUUACUGAUUCCAGAUUUGUAAUUUUUGCCAUUGUAGUGAGAAGUAAUUAACUAUUUUAUGGUUUUUUAAAUUUGAAUUUUUGACUAUCAGGAUUAGCAUAUUUUUUUUUUCUUCGUUAAAGACUAGUCAAGUGCAUUAGUGAGGAGGGGGGAAAGAGUAGACCAAGGAAUUUGGUCUGUAACUGACUGUGGACAAUACAUUGGUAGAACUCACUACCUUUGAGCCAGCCAGAAUCUUUUUAUUAUUCACUGGAUAUUCAGGUUUUGCCUCUGUAAAUUUUCUUUCAUUGCCAUUUUUUUCAAAUAGUUCAUUCAAUCUUUGUUUUCAGAUGUGCUUUCCACAAUCAGGUUACAAAUUCUCUGCCACUAAUGAUCAUUACAAUUCCUCUUCUCAGCCUGUUUAUUGUUUGGUCUGUUUAUGGUUUCUCAGGCUUCUUAUUUAUUUAUUUAGACAGAGUCAUGCUCUGUUUUCCAGGCUAGAGUGCAGUGGUGUGAUCUUGGCUCACUGUAGCCUUGACCUCCUGGGCUUAAGCAAUCCUCCCACCUCCGCCACCUGAGUAGCUGGGACUACAGGCGCAUGCCACCACCUGCAGCUAAUUUCUGUAUAUUUUGUAGAGAUGGGGUUUUGCCACAUUGCCCAGGCUGGUCUCGAACUCCUGGGCUCAAGCGAUCCAGCCGCCUUGGCCUCCAGAGUGCUGGGAUUACAGGUGUGAGCCACCAUGCCUGGACUAGGCUUCUUUAAACAUUGAAUAGUGUUCCUUUCUAGAUGAAGGAGGAUCACAUAGCACUUGGGAGCAAAGAUGCAGCCAAGUAACCCAGUGCUGGAGCCCACGAUGGAGAAGAUCUCACGGCCACUCUGGCCUUGCCCUGGGUGCUUUAGUAACUCGGGAGGAAGGCCACCCAGACACUGCAGGACACCAGCAUGCUGAAGGUCAGGAACUUGGCUUCGUUGAAAGCAUCAGGCAGGUUCCUUGCCAGAAAGGCUACAGCAAGGGACCCUAAAACCAAGAAGCCCAAGUAGCCCAAGACAGAGUAGAAGGCAGUGACGGAGCCCUCAUUACACUGGAUAAUGAUGUAGCCAGGCAUGAACUGAGGGUCCUUGUUUACGAAGGGAGGCUCUGUCCCCAGCCAGAUUCCACAGAGGGUCACUUGGGUAAAGGAGCAAAGGAAGACAACAGAAUUUGUUUUUUGGGGACCCAUCCACUUUCGGAUCCUGCUUUCUGGCCUUAUAGCCUGGAAGGCCCUGCAGAAAACACAGCCACUGUGAACACAGCUGCAAAGGUGGUCUGUGAGAGGAGGCAGGUGGCAGGGCUGGGGCGGCCGAUGAAGAGCGAGGAAGAGAGAAAGCAGAGUGUGAGGGAGACAAGGAGGGUGUAGCUCAGAGUCUGGUUGCUGGCCUUGACUAUGGGAGUGUUUUGGUGCCACACAAACUCCACAAGGAUCAGAACAGAGAGGACAGAGUAGAACAAGGCUGUGCAUGCCAGAGUCAGGCCCAAAGUUUCAUCAUAGGCCAGGAAGGUCUCCUAUUUGAGAAGGUAUGUUCCCUUUUCUUGUUUGGAUAAUGAUAUUCAGGACAAAGCCUGCAUUGUUUUAUAUCUGAAAUAAACAAAAAGGGUGUCACUGUCUCCAAAACAGAGCACUGCACGUUUGGUAAGAUUCCAUUGCCCAGAGCUCUCACCACCACAGCGCCAUUUAGGUGGACUGUUUGGCUGGUGUGUGUGUGUGUGUGAGAGUUGUGUGUGUGAGUUGUGUGUGUGCGUGCACGCAAGCAUGCGUAUAUGUGUUCUGCAUGUGUUUUAAAGGAAAACAUAAAUACUUCACCAGCUUUUUUUUUUGACCAUUUUAAUCAGUUUUAUUGAUUCAUGCUUCCGGUUCUUAUUCAGUUCAAAACAAGGCACAUUAAAUACAUCCUCUUAUUGCUUUAUAAAUGCACGUAGCUCAUUCUCUAUAUCAAAAGUAAUAAAUAAUGGCCAUAAAACACCAAGACCUUUAUAAAAAUGACAACCCAGCCUUGAACAUAGUAUUUAACAGUCCAAUCUAGAACAAUAACCCAACACGGUACAUCAAAGUGCCACAUAUGAAAACAUGCAGUGUGUGUAGUCACUCUAGUACUGAGCUUGCACUGGCUAUUCUUUAAAAACAUACUAGGGCUUUUUCACUCCUUAAAAAAGGUGGACAUGAUGCAAACAUUGCAAGUUAUAGCAUCACUGACUUUAAUAUUACAUUUAUGUGCCAAAAAUCUUUACAGAUACAUAAGAGAAAAUAAAAUCAAUGAUAACACCGUAUAUUUAAUAAAAGUGAAAAUGAGUUUUUUGUUGUGCCAAAGAGGAAGCUACAUAUUUUGAAACAGACAAAGCCAAGCCAGAAACUGAAGCAGAAGAGGGAUCACGCAUUUAAUAGCAGAAAUCCUAAUACACUCAGUAUAAAUUGAUUGAAAGCAGGAAUAUUGCAAACAGCAUGAUGGAUAUGAGGCAGACCACCGUGGCUAAACAAAUAAUCCAGCAUUAUCAUUAUUGUUAUGACUGUGGUGGGGCUAUUUAAAGGAGUAUCCAACUCUCUAGCACAGAUGGGGGUUCCUUCACCUGACUCCCCUUAAAGGCUCUUGAAAUAAAUCACUUGAUAAUAAAAGGCAAUCCCUGCAUACCCACCCCAACCCCAACAGAAUCAACUAAUGUCAAGUUUAUAUGCAAAUGGAAAAUUUUUUCUUUUGUUCUUGGAACGAAUUUCAAAGAAGCUCAUUCCCCCCUAUUUCUUGUCUCCCUUUCUUAAAUCAGGUAAGGAAGCUGUACAGGCUUAAUUCAGAACUUAUGGCUGGGUGCAGUGGCUCACGACUGUAAUCCCAGCACUUUGGGAGGCUGAGGUGGGUGGAUCACGAGGUCAGGAGUUUGAGACCAGCCUGACCAACAUGGUGAAACCCCAUCUCUACUAAAAAUACAAAAAUUAGCCAGAUGUGGUGGCGGGUGCCUGUAAUCCUCACUACCCGGGGGGCUGAAGCAAAAGAAUUGCUUGAACCUGGGAGGCAGAGGUUGCAGUGAGCCGAGAUUGCACCACCGCACUCCAGCCUGGGCGACAGACCAAGGCUCCAUCUCGGGAAAAAAAAAAAAAAAAAAAAAGAAUUUACACAAAAUGCUGGGGUGCUUUAUUCACAGUAAUGGCUUGAAAUCAGUUCAUUUCCAAACGAGUCUCUGGGAUUGGUGAAGGACCGUGUGUUUUAGCAUUUAGCAGAUUUUAAGUAAAAGCAGAUAUGCUCAAAAGAAGAAAAGUGUGCUUUUCUUUGUCCUUAAAGGAACUUCAUUCAUAGCAAAAUAUGCACAAACAAGACCUGUUUAACAAACACAGAUCUGCUCGGGCCAGUCGCAUCCUAAGCCCGGUCCCUCCUGUAACUAUGGUCCACUGGAAUUGGGACUCUUCUGUCGAGGUUCUCUUCUGCAGUUUUCAUUAGUAUAAAGAGCCGGCUUCCAGACACCCUUCCUUUUUGAAUAGCACUCAUCAGCUGCAAAAAUUCAUUGAGUUCAACCUGUCCAUUUUUAUUCAAAUCGACUUCAUUUAGAAUUUCAUGGAGUGUAUUUUCAUCCAUUUGGACAUUGAUACUCUCUAAUACACAUGGAACAUCAACAAUGGUAAUAAAGCCUUUCUGGUCUGCAUCAGACUUACAAAAUCUCUUCUUAUACCUGUCACUGUCUGAAGGCAGUAGGCUAAUUUCAGAGCCAUCUGUUAACUGUUCUGAUCAAAGUUUAGUCUGUUUCAUAAUAUAGAAACUUCCUGGUUGUUUCAAGUUGUUCCUGUUUCUUAUAAUCAUCUCAAUUCUGUUCUCUGCCCAUUAGUUCAACAAUCCUGAGUAGGGCUUGCUCUGCUGCCCGGACAUUUAGAAAGGCCAGGCGAGGCUGAGGCAGGCAGAUCACCUGAGGUCAGGAGUUUGAGACCAGCCUGACCAACAUGGAGAAACCCAAUCUCUACUAAAAAUACAAAAUUAGCCAGGCGUGGUGAUGUCCUGACCAACAUGGAGAAACCUAAUCUCUACUAAAAAUACAAAAUUAGCCAGGGUGGAGACCCAAUCUCUACUAAAAAUACAAAAUUAGCCUGUAACUCCAGGUACUCGGGAGGAUGAGGCAGGAGAAUCGCUUGAACCCAGGAGGCGGUGAUUGCAGUGAGCCGAGAUCAUACCAUUGCACUCCAGCCUGGGUGACAAGAGCGAAAUUCUGUCUCAAAAAUAAUAAUAAUAAUAAUAAUAAGCCAGGCGAGUACAACGUGAAAUCAUAUCCACGGUGGUGCAGGAAUACUCCUUAAUCCCAUAGUUCACCUCUGCUUCAAUAUAUGGAAAUUCUGACACAAGACGUACUCCAACAAUAGGCCACCUUUUGCUAGUCACACUUGCCAUUGUGGCCACCUCAAAAGCCUUAUCACCAUAGGUGGCAGCAAGAUGCUGUGCCCCCUCGCUUUCAAGUCCAUAAUCCUGGACAAGCUUCAUGUAGAGUGUGGGGUUCCAAUCUUUACCCCCUUGAAGGAAAAGCCCAGCUGUUCUACUUGGUCCUGCUUUCAAAUUGUGGGUUUUGAUAGCAGCAUUUAGGGUAUCUUCGCCACAGACCGGUAAGUUGUCCACUUUCCACCUGCUGUAGUAAUAAGACUUCUCUCACUGACAUGGACAACAUGAUUUCAGGAGAUAGACUGAGUAUCUGCAGAUUUGGGAUCUGUAACAAGGGGACGGAUACUGCUCCACGCUGCUAGGAUGUCGCCCCUCUUCUCACCUCAACAUCACAGCUCAGGUAAUUACGUGCUUCAUUCAAAAUGAAGUUAAUAUCUUCUUCUGAAGGACUUGGAUGGUGUGUAAUAUCAGUUGGGGUAUCAGUAGUGCCAGCAAUCAUCAUCUUUUGCCAGGGUAAGAAGAAAAUAACUCGCCCAUCACUGGUCAAGAAGUCCCAUGCCCUCUGGGCUGUAAUAACCAGGCAUCACAAUGUGGACACCAGCAGUUGGCUGGCAGAUAGCUGCAGCAUCCUUAUCAUCUAUUUUGCACACAGAGUCUGUGAAAUGUCCAACGGCAUUGAUAACACACUUGGCUUUCAUGUCAAAUUCCUGCCCUGUGAGGACAUCCUUGCACCAUGCACCACUCACACGCACUUUCGCUGUCUGUCUGGGUGUCUGUCUUCUUAAGCAAGCUCACUACCUCCCUGUCAUUGACUGUGGCAUCCCCAUAUCUGGCAGCAGUCAGCACAAUGGCAAGGUUCAUCCAUGCAUCGUUAUGUCGUCCAUCAUAGUAGACAAUUCCUCCUACCAGUUUGUCCUUCUGGAGCAUUGGGAAAUGUUCAAGGGCUCUUGAUUUGCUGAGGACAUAACUGCUUUUCAGGCAAUUACUUCCUGCAACCAAAUCAUACAGCUUGAUUCCUACCCAGUAGUAAGGUAACUGCCACCACUUGUAAACUGGAAGCAUGAUAGGCAAUGGAGCUGAUAAAUGGGGAGAAAUUUCUGGCAGGUUGGCACGCUCAUCAAGGGCUUCUGUUACCAUCCGGUACUGCUCAAUAUCCAACUUCAUCAUGGCCUUCUGAAGAUAUCUCACACCACCAUGGAUCAAAUUAGUGCUUCUGCUGCUGGUCCCUGGCAUUGAAGACUGUUCCUUUCUGGGUGAAGGAGAAUCACGUAGCAAUUGGGAGCAAGAUGCAUCCAUGUAACCCAGUACUGGAGGUCAAGAUGGAGACAAUCUCCACAGCCACCAUGGCCUUUCCCUGAGUGCUACUAUAACUCAGGAGGAAAG